GAAUGCGAGGGCGAUCUGGCUGCGACAUCCGUCACCCCAUUGAUCUCCAGGGUUGAUUUGGCUGAUCUGGCUGGCUAGGCCAGUGUCCCCUUCCUCCCUCACUGCUCCCUAUGUGUCCCUCCCAAAGCUUCAUGCUUGGUCAAAGAGAACAACCUUCCCCAAAUAGUGGAGGACUGAUCUUUGGUCAAGGGUAUACGAGUAGCUGCAUUGCCCUGCUAGAACUUCCAAGCACGCUCUUAAAAUAUAUCUGUCAGUAUAAUUAGAAAGAAAGACCGAAUAUUUUCUCCAUAAUAUUAGGAACAAGAAAGGCCUGACCCCUCAUG
rnacentral:snRNA from 1 species